CACUUGUCACAAACCCGUAGAUCCGAUCUUGUGGCGUAAUCGGCAACCCAAGCUCGAUUCUGUGGGUCUCUGUCACUGUG